CAGGAGGACACAAUAACGCAGGACCAGGAGGACACAGGACCAAGUCACAGCACGCAGGAGCCAGGAACACAGGAAACAAAAGGCAAUGAUCUGGCAGGGAGUGAGGGGAGAAACCAAACUAAAUAGGUGCUAAACAAGGACCAGGUGAAGUGCUUAAUAAAAGGAAAUCAGGAACAGUGCCAAACCGAAACAGUGGUGAGUAUGAGUACAGCACGAGGGCAGAUCAGCUAAGGAGUGUCGUGACAACCGCCCAUUGACUUCCUGCUUCACUGGACACUACU